UGAGUACAAGAUGCUACGGCAUUGAAGCAGUCUAUGUCAUACUUCCAAGAAAAGCUUGCAAUGUCAUAAACAAAUAAUGCCUGUACCAUAACCGACACAGGUGGGUAGGUAGAGUAUACUAAGGGGCGCGAGAUAACUCUCUCUAAGGAACUCGGCAAAAUGACUCCGUAACUUCGGGAGAAGGAGUACCUUAUUUUAUAAGGUUGCAAUAACAAGGUCCAAGCAACUGUUUACCAAAAACACAGGUCUCCGCUAAGUCGUAAGACGAUGUAUGGGGGCUGACGCCUGCCCAGUGCCAGAAGGUUAAAGAAGUUGGUUAGCAUUAGCGAAGCUGAUAACUGAAGCCCUGGUGAACGGCGGCCGUAACGAUAACGGUCCUAAGGUAGCGAAAUUCCUUGUCGGGUAAGUUCCGACCCGCACGAAAGGCGUAAUGAUUUGGAUACUGUCUCGGAGAGGGGCUCGGUGAAAUAGACUUGUCUGUGAAGAUGCGGACUACCUGCACCUGGACAGAAAGACCCUAUGAAGCUUUACUGUAACUUGAGAUUGAAAUUGGACUUUAUUUGCGCAGUAUAGGUGGGAGACCUCGAAAGUAUUCUUGCGGGAAUAUUGGAGUCAUCAGUGAGAUACCACUCUUAUAAUGUUAGAUUUCUAACUUUGUAUCAUUAUCUGGUCAAAGAACAGUUUCAGGCGGGCAGUUUGACUGGGGCGGUCGCCUCCCAAAUGGUAACGGAGGCGCACAAAGGUUUCCUCUGAACGUGUAGAAAUCGUAUCUAGAGUGUAAAGGCAUAAGGAAGCUUGACUGUGAGACCUACAAGUCGAGCAGGGACGAAAGUCGGUCUUAGUGAUCUGACGGUGCUGAGUGGAAAGGCCGUCACUCAACGGAUAAAAGUUACUCUAAGGAUAACAGGCUGAUCUCCCCCAAGAGUUCACAUCGACGGGGAGGUUUGGCACCUCGAUGUCGGCUCAUCGCAUCCUGGGGCGGUAGUACGUCCCAAGGGUUGGGCUGUUCGCCCAUGAAAGCGGUACGCGAGCUGGGUUCAGAACGUCGUGAGACAGUUCGGUCCAUAUCCGGUGUAGGCGUUAGAAUAUUGAGAGGAGCCUUCUUUAGUACGAGAGGACCGAGAAGGACAUACCUCUGGUGUACCAGUUAUCGUGCCAACGGUAAACGCUGGGUAGCUAUGUAUGGAGAGGAUAACCGCUGAAAGCAUCUAAGUGGGAAGCCCACCUCAAGAUAAG
rnacentral:rRNA from 1 species